GCAUAGAGGCUCAUUCUGGCCCUGGGUGCAUCCUUCUGCCCACCUUCCAUCUCUGCCUGUGGUUGAUGUUCAUGUCCUAUUCCCAGAACCUGUUAGUAUCUUAGCUGAUAUGGCAAAAGGGACUUUGAAGGUAUGGUUAAAGAUCUUGAGGUGGGGAGAUGAUUCUGGAUUGUCUCAGUGGACCCAAUAUAAUUACAAAGACAUGUAAUCAGAAUGUGAUUCUCAUCAGAGGAAACAGGAGAAUUGGAGAAGGAUGGAAGCAGAGGUCCGAGGAGUGAAGAUGCUAUGCUGCUGGCUUAUGAUGGAGGAAGGGGCCAUGAACCAAGGAAUGCAAGCAGCCUCUAGAACCUGGAAAAGGCCAAGAAGCAGAUUCUCCCCUAGAGACUCCAGAAGGUAUGCAAGCUUGUCAACAUUUUGACUUUUAAUUUAGCCCAAUGAAAUGGAUUUCAGAGCUGUGGCCUCCAGAACUGUAAGCUAAUGCACUUGUGUUAUUUUAAGCAAUUAAGUUUAUGGUAAUUCAUUACAGCAGCAAUAGGAAACUAGUAUGCUGGCCCUGCCGCUGGGCAGCACUAAUCUGUUCUCCUAGGAAAGUAAGGUUUGUGAGAGUGGAAAGUGGAGAGGUAGAUUUCCUAGAAGCCCCUGCAAUCAAACUGAACUAGGUUCAUAUUACCAUUCAUUUAUUACUUAUAUUACUACCUGAGCAAAUGUCUAAGCAACAAUACAUUGAUAAUAAUGCAUUGCUUAUAGGAUUGCUAAGAAUUAAAUGUUUUAAAUUACCUAAUUACCCACUUAAAAAAAA